rnacentral:lncRNA from 1 species
AACAACAAUGGAAAAGAGAGAAAGCUCGAGUAUUAUAGAAAGAGUUAAGAUGAGGAUUCACGUAAUGAAGAGGUGAUGCAAAUAAACCUGAAACGAGGACCUGCAUAAAAAAAUGACAAUAAAGGAAAAAUCUACAAAUGAGGAAGAAGGUGAAGAAAAGUUUCUUGAACUCCACAAUUGGUAAAAGAGGAAAAGUUGCAAGUUGGAAGGGUCUUAUGUAUAUUCCCACUAUGACGAACCAAACGAUAUCCUACGUUGAAAAGCG